rnacentral:rRNA from 1 species
CACGUAGGGGCCAAGCGUUGUCCGGAUUUAUUGGGCGUAAAGAGCUCGUAGGCGGCUCGGUAAGUCGGGUGUGAAACCUCCAGGCUCAACCCUGGAGACGCCACCUGAUACUGCUGUGGCUAGAGUCCGGUAGGGGAGCGUGGAAUUCCUGGUGUAGCGGUAGAAAUGCGCAGAUAUCAGGAGGAACACCAGCGGCGAAGGCGGCGCUCUGGGCCGGAACUGACGCUGAGGAGCGAAAGCGUGGGUAGCAAACAGG